rnacentral:lncRNA from 1 species
AUUAGUUAUUAAUUUACAUUAGUCUGGUAUACAUGAGGCAGUCUUUAACUAUGACCAAUGAUCAGUCAUAUAUGACCAAUUUCUUUCAAAACCCGAAAAGAAUUAUUGCUUCAGCACAGUUAAUGAUUAAUGCAAAGCUGCUAUUAUGAGUUAGAUUCUGCUUCAUUAAAGAUAAGCUAUCAAGGAAAACUGAACUGAAAAAUUAUAAAUGUUUGACUUCAGAUUUCAAGUUUCUUUGGCUAAACUUCAGCUGCCUUUCAUCUCAAUUUUACUUCAAACUCAAUACAUGUGUAAUGCUAUAUAAACAUUCUCUUCUGAUUUUCAGUGUAUUUUGAGAAUUGCAAUGAGAAGAAAAGAUGAAAAAUGCAAUUUUAAGAAAGUUUCUACAAACUCGAGUUAAUGCAUAUAGGAGAACAAGAAGAUUUAUACUAGCCAUGCAAGGAAUCUUUGGAAGUCUAACAGACCUGACUUGAAGAGAAGGCUUUAAACAAGAAAUUCUUCAUUCUGGAACAGUGAUUCUUAAAGUGCGGUUCAGAGACCCUGGGAGACACUGACAUUCUUUCAGAGUGUGAGUGAGGAUUUCCUCUUUGCAACUACAAUCUGUGUAAGGUUGGAUUUUCUUUACAUACAUAAACUAAAAUAAGAUUGCAAUAAGAUGAAUGCAGAAGCAGAUAAGAGAAUCCAGCUGUCUUAAGUUAGACUUCACAGAGAUUUGCAAAAAUCCAAACAAGACCACUCUCGUCAUUAAAGUUAUUUUCCAUUUGUUAUGGUGAACUUAUUUUGCAGGAAAUUUGUUAUUUAUAGUAACAUACAAUUUUGUUUUUUGAUCAUUUUAAAUAAAUUAAUAAAUAUUAUAAGUUUUCUAUUUUUAAAAUUAUACAUGUCAGAAAAGAACAGUUCUUUCAGGUCCUCAACAAUUUUAAGACUAUUAACUUGUUUUGGAUCAAAAAGUUCUAGAUUUGCUAUUCUAGACAUGAAUCCUUUGAAAUUAAUUGGCUUCAUAAGUAUAUUUUUCAAGUUUGUGGCUUGUCCUGUAACCUUCUACUGUGUAGAAGUUUUAAAUUUUAAUUUAAAGAAAUUUAAAAUUUUUUCAUUUUUGUUUGUGCUUUUGGUGUCAUAUUUAGGAAAUCCUUCUCUACCUUGAGUUCAUGAAAAUAUCCUCUUAUAUUUAGUAUUUACAGUUUGUUCUUCAUCUUUAGGUCUAUAAUUUAUUGAAAAUAUAGUUUUGUAUGUGAUGUAAGCUAAAGAUAUUUUUUAAAACUUGAUAUGGAUAACACAUUUUGGCAAUAUUAUUCAUCCACUCAUUCUCCCACUGACUUUCCCUCUGCCACUUACUUACCUACAUAAGAAUUUGUCGUGGAGAUUCUCUUUUCUAUUCUUUUAGUCUAAUGGCUUAAUUGUUGAUCAAUUACCCUUUUUAACUAUUGAUGCUUUAGAGUAAGUCUUGAUAUAAAGCCAUGUAAGUCCCUUGAAUUAGUCUCCCACUUUUCCUUCUUAAAAACAUUCUGGGAUCUUCUUGGCCUUUAACUCCUCUGACUUAAUUUUAGGAUCAAUUUCUCAGAUUACAUUAACAACCUGUUCAAAUUGCAUAGAUUUUAUAGGUAAAUCUGUAUAAAAUUUACAUGUUAUAAUAUUGGGGCUUUUUAUUCAUAAACAUUUUCACCAACGUUUUAGUUUCAUAUCUUCCAAUAAGAUUUUAUAAUUUUUCAUACCUAUCUUAGAUGAUUUUGGUUGCAUUUAUUUUUUAUAGUUUUAGUUUUAUUGUCAAUGCAGCUUUUUCCAAUUCAAUUUUAUAACAGUUUUGCUGGUUAAAAAAAAAAAAAAGACUAUUUAUUUUGUGUAUUGGUUUUUAAAUUGUACAAUGUUUCUGAAUUUUCUUACUUCCAAACAGUCGUCUAUAAAUUAUCUUGAUUGUCUAAAAUGUGAAAUUCAUAUACUAUGAGAAUGAUAAUUUUAUUUUUUCAUUUUCAAUUCUUAAACUUCUGAUGACACUUGGCUGGAACCUCCUUCACUAGGUUGAAAAUAAGUGGCAACAGUGGUAUCCUUGUUCUGUUAUUGAUUCCAAGAGCCUGCCUCUAAUGUUUCCCCAUGUAUUAUGAUGUUUGUGUAAAUUUUGAUAGACCUUAUUUAUUAAGUAAAAAGAUUCUCUUCUAGUUCAAGUUUGGUCUACAAGUUUUUAUUGUGAAAGUGAACUGAAUUUUAGAAAUACCUUUUAAUGUGUAUAAAAAAUUAUAUCUUUAUUUCUGUUAAUGUGAUAAAUUACAUUAAGAGAUUUUAUUAAUAUUUGGUUAUCUUUGUAUUUCAA